GAUGAACGCUGGCGGCGUGCCUAAUACAUGCAAGUCGAGCGAACGGACGAGAAGCUUGCUUCUCUGAUGUUAGCGGCGGACGGGUGAGUAACACGUGGAUAACCUACCUAUAAGACUGGGAUAACUUCGGGAAACCGGAGCUAAUACCGGAUAAUAUUUUGAACCGCAUGGUUCAAAAGUGAAAGACGGUCUUGCUGUCACUUGUAGAUGGAUCCGCGCUGCAUUAGCUAGUUGGUAAGGUAACGGCUUACCAAGGCAACGAUGCAUAGCCGACCUGAGAGGGUGAUCGGCCACACUGGAACUGAGACACGGUCCAGACUCCUACGGGAGGCAGCAGUAGGGAAUCUUCCGCAAUGGGCGAAAGCCUGACGGAGCAACGCCGCGUGAGUGAUGAAGGUCUUCGGAUCGUAAAACUCUGUUAUUAGGGAAGAACAUAUGUGUAAGUAACUGUGCACAUCUUGACGGUACCUAAUCAGAAAGCCGCGGCUAACUACGUG
rnacentral:rRNA from 1 species